UUGUCCAAUCCUAAUAACACAAAUCACUCUCUAUCCAAGGCCUGCAAUGUGAAGUGAUGGAUCCAGAGGUAGGUAAACAUCCUAGGCACACACUGAGAACAGAAUGAAUAAUCAAGCGGUAUGGUAGUUAUAUGAUUAACAACACCAUUGCAAAUAACAACACUCAAUCUUCGUGGGUGCAAAAGAUUAGGUGAAGAUGAUGUCAGAAAUGGUGUUUUUAAUCAUAUAACAUCCAGGUAACUUGACAAUUCCUUCUAUUCUCAAUUUGUUUCUACCAUAUUUUCCUUGGCAAUGGAUCCAUCUCCUAGCAUUACAGACCUUGGUUGGAGAAUGCUUUCGAUAAUUGGGAUUGACUAAGAGUUUACCAAGUUGGUUAGUCAACUGUUGAAUCCUGGCCCUAAUUAUUCUAGAUUGGAUCAAUCAACUUCUUGGUUUGAAAUUAGUGGAGGACACUAAAGACUGCUAAUAUUGGAAGGACAAAGAAAGCUGGUUCCAGGAAUAGAAGGACAUCGAGAAUGGAAGAACAGUCAUGGUAUCUAAGUACCAUAAAAUCACAAUAAGAACAUAUCAAAGGAAAAUCUCAGCCUCUAAUGUUAUGAAAAAUCAAAUCAAGACUUUGGAAGAUAGAAGAGUAUCUCGCCAAAAAUAUGGAGGAUCACGACUUUCAAAUAGUAUGGCAAACAGAUCAAUCAAAUAUCACAAAAAUGGUAGAAGGAUCACAAUCCCAAAAUCAUGGUAGACCAAAUCAAUCAAGAAGAUAAAAUUAUGAGCACAUUUGGAAAGGCAACAAUCUCUACAAAACCAAAAAAAAAUUAGAUCCCGGACAUAUCUGAUAUGGACAUGAUCCAAAGCCAUAUAUGUACAUAUCAUAUAGCUAUAUUCCUCAAUGAAGGAAUCAAUUACGUCCUUUAUAGAGAAGAAAUUCCUUA